ensembl:snRNA U6 U6 spliceosomal RNA
CUGUUUUGGCACUAGAUAUAUUAAAAUUGGAACAAUGUAAAGAAGAUGAGGCCUUAUCCUUGAGCAAAGUGAUAUACAAAUCUGUGAAGUGGUCCAUGUAUUU